rnacentral:misc_RNA from 1 species
GAUGAAGAACGUAGUGAAAUGCGAUAAGUAAUGCGAAUUGCAGAAUUCAGUGAGUCAUCGAAUCUUUGAACGCACAUUGCGCCCCUUGGUAUCCCGAGGGGCAUGCCUGUUCGAGCGUCAUUUCACCACUCAAGCCUGGCUUGGUGUUGGGCGACGUCCCCUUUGGGGACGCGCCUCGAAACGCUCGGCGGCGUGGCACCGGCUUUAAGCGUAGCAGAAUCUUUCGCUUUGGAAGUCGGGGCCCCGUCUGCCGGAAGACCUACUCGCAAGGUUGACCUCGGAUCAGGCAGGGAUACCCGCUGAACUUAAGCAUAUCAAUAAGCGGAGGA